rnacentral:misc_RNA from 1 species
UUUCCGUAGGUGAACCUGCGGAAGGAUCAUUAUUGUAUAACCGAGGUGCGAGGGCUGUCGCUGACCCGAAAGGUCGUGCACGCCCGAGUGCCCUCACACACAUCCAUCUCACCCCUAUGUGCACCACCGCGUGGGUCCCCCUUUGGCUUGUUCGGAGGGGGGCUUACGCUUCCACACAAACUUUGUAUGCAGUGUAGAAUGUAUUUUUUGUUUUUGCGAUCACGCAAUCAAUACAACUUUCAACAACGGAUCUCUUGGCUCUC